GAUUUAGAUGAUCUGGCAAGAAAAUUUAACAUUGGCUGGUUUGUACAUCAAUUUCCCGGAUGCUCCUAUCGUUCACGAGAGUAACUAGUCGAACACCUCAACAUCAAUUUCAAGUUGUGAAGCUGACUCGUGAUCACGCUCGUGGUUGAAAAGUGACGACGAGCAGGGCUGAAUCUAUCUGACUAGCUACCUCCACAUCUCGUGCCCCACGGUAAUCUUGCUCGUCCUUCGUUGGAAGCACAAGCGAUGACAGAGGCCGCACACAUGCUGAUUUCGCAAGUUCCGAACCUCAUCGCAGGUGGACACCAGGCUGCAAACGUCAGGGAACCUUUCCAACCAUCGACUUUUAAUGUCUCGUAGCUUGAACCACUUGGAUUCAAACCACCUUUGCUUUCUCUGAAGGUGUUACAUGUUACUUAAUGCGGUUUAGCAAGAAAUUCUGCGUUCAUUCGCCUUACUUGGUCUGGAGUUUCUACCGGCGAAUCUCUUCCUGCGUCAUGGCGGUUUUGUUCUUUU
rnacentral:lncRNA from 1 species